AGGAACAUGUGGUUUAAUUCGAUGAUACGCGAGGAACCUUACCCGGGCUUGAAUUGCAGAGGAACAUAGUUGAAAGAUUAUGGCCGCAAGGUCUCUGUGAAGGUGCUGCAUGGUUGUCGUCAGCUCGUGCCGUGAGGUGUCGGCUUAAGUGCCAUAACGAGCGCAACCCUUAUCAUUAGUUACUAACAGGUCAUGCUGAGGACUCUAGUGAGACUGCCGUCGUAAGAUGUGAGGAAGGUGGGGAUGACGUCAAAUCAGCACGGCCCUUACGUCCGGGGCUACACACGUGUUACAAUGGGGGGUACAGAGGGCAGCUACCGGGCGACCGGAUGCCAAUCCCAAAACCUCUCUCAGUUCGGAUCGAAGUCUGCAACCCGACUUCGUGAAGCUGGAUUCGCUAGUAAUCGCGCAUCAGCCACGGCGCGGUGAAUACGUUCCCGGGCCUU
rnacentral:rRNA from 1 species